rnacentral:tRNA from 1 species
UCUAAUAUGGCAGAAUAGUGCAAUGGAUUUAAACCCCAUACAUAAAGUAAAGCUUUUUUUAGAA